CCAGCACCUGCGGUAAUUCCAGCUCCAAUAGCGUAUAUUAAAGUUGUUGCAGUUAAAAAGCUCGUAGUUGAAGUUCUGGCUGUUCGAUCCUCGAGCUCUGUAGCCGAGGACUCGACAGUCAUCCGCUUGCAAAUAUCGUUCGCCUUUAAACGGGUGGCUAUAUGAGUAAGCAAUUUACCUUGAGAAAAACAGAGUGUUCCAGGCAGGUUUGUCCGGAAUGCAUUAGCAUGGAAUAAUAGAAUAUGACUGAAGUCGAUUUAUUGGUUUGAGGCUUUAGUAAUGAUUAAUAGGAACAGUCGGGGGCAUUGGUACUUGUCAGUCAGAGGUGAAAUUCUAGGAUUUGACAAAGA
rnacentral:rRNA from 1 species